UACAGAGGUCUCAAGCGUUGUUCGGAUUCAUUGGGCGUAAAGGGUGCGUAGGGGGCGCGGUAAGUCGGGUGUGAAAUUUCGGAGCUUAACUCCGAAACUGCAUUCGAUACUGCCGUGCUUGAGGACUGGAGAGGAGACUGGAAUUUACGGUGUAGCAGUGAAAUGCGUAGAGAUCGUAAGGAAGACCAGUGGCGAAGGCGGGUCUCUGGACAGUUCCUGACACUGAGGCACGAAGGCCAGGGGAGCAAACGGG
rnacentral:rRNA from 1 species